rnacentral:rRNA from 1 species
AUGGGCGGCGGCGCGGCGGACCAUGGCCAGGCCAGCGCCCACCCUCGCCCGGAACCGGCCGUCCCCGAGCACCGGCGCAAGAAGCGCCGUGCUCGUCUGCUUCCACGGCGCCACGGCGUCCAGGAGAUCCCCGACGAGCUCGUGGCGGAGAUCCCCGACGAGCUCGUGGCGGAGAUCUUCCUCCGGCGGCCCAUCCUAGCCGAUCUGGUCCGCGCCUCCCUCGCCUGCGUCUCCUUCCGAGGCCUCAUCGCCGACCGCUACUUCCUCCGGCGCCUCCGCAAGCUCCACGCCCCACCCGUCCUCGGGUUUCUUAACGGAUACCGAGAUUUCUUCCCCGUGAUCCCGCCUUCUCCUUUCGCGUCCGCAGCCAGCGCCGUCGCCCUCGCCGCCGACUUCUCCUUCUCCUUCCUGCCCGCCCCGCCCGCGACUGGAAGAUCCUGGACGUCCGCGAUGGCCGCUACGGGACAAUGGCGAGCUGGUCCAUGGACACCAUGGACUGCUGAGUUUUCUUUGGCUUUCUUCUCCUACCUCCGGUACGCAUAUGGCUGCUUCUACGGGGUGACAGAGUGCACCGAAAAGUUGCUUGUGCUUGACACCCGGACAAUGGAGUUCUCAGUUGCUGACCUCCCACCUGAAGCAAGAGUAGAAUCUGUGGAUAUAGCCAUUGUGGAGGCAGGGGAAGGCAUCACUGGGAUGUUUGUGCUUCCACAUCUCACAUCUCACAUCAGUUAUCUGAUUAGGCAAAACAAUGGUGGGAGUUCCAGCCAGUGGCGGUUGGAGAAGACAAUCCGACUGGAUUCUUGUUGGUACAGUUUCACAAAUUCAACAGGGAGGCACUUGCUCUUGUUUCAUUCAGGAAGCUCAUCGCUCGGUAAAGGCACUUUCGCGCUGGACAUCAAGACAUUCCAGCUUGAGAAGGUGUUUGCAACACCUGGCAAACCCAUGCCAUAUGUAUAUAGCAACUUCCCACCAUCAUUGCUAUCGUCCCCAACAAUAUCGAGUGCUGCUUCAUAG